rnacentral:rRNA from 1 species
AGAGUUUUGAUCCUGGCGUCAGGAUAAAACAACUGGCGGCGCACAUAAGACAUGCAAGUCGAACGAACUUAACCCUUGUUUUACAUUGGGAGCGGGUUAGUGGCGGACUGGUGAGUAACACGUAAGCAACCUGCCUAUUAGAGGGGAAUAACAGUGAGAAAUCAUUGCUAAUACCGCAUAUGCUCACAGUAUCACAUGAUACAGUGAGGAAAGGAGCAAUCCACUAAUAGAUGGGCUUGCGUCUGAUUAGCUAGUUGGUGGGGUAACGGCCUACCAAGGCGACGAUCAGUAGCCGGACUGAGAGGUUGAACGGCCACAUUGGGGCUGAGAUACGGCCCAGACUCCUACGGGAGGCAGCAGUCGGGAAUAUUGCGCAAUGGAGGAAACUCUGACGCAGUGACGCCGCGUAUAGGAAGAAGGUUUUCGGAUUGUAAACUAUUGUCGUUAGGGAAGAUAAAAGACAGUACCUAAGGAGGAAGCUCCGGCUAACUAUGUG